UACAGAGGUCUCAAGCGUUGUUCGGAUUCAUUGGGCGUAAAGGGUGCGUAGGUGGCAGGGUAAGUCGGAUGUGAAAUCCCGGGGCUCAACCUCGGAACUGCAUUCGAUACUGCUUUGCUGGAGUACUGGAGAGGAGAUUGGAAUUUACGGUGUAGCGGUGAAAUGCGUAGAUAUCGUAAGGAAGACCAGUGGCGAAGGCGGAUCUCUGGACAGUUACUGACACUGAGGCACGAAGGCCAGGGGAGCAAACGGG
rnacentral:rRNA from 1 species